rnacentral:tRNA from 1 species
AUUCUAUUAGUAUAAAAAUUACAAUUAGUUUCCACCUAAAAGAUCCUGUGAUAGAAUA